ensembl:lncRNA
UUAAAGUGUCUUGAACUUUAAAAAUGCAACACCAAACAUCGGUGAAAAUACAGCAGUGUGUGAGUGUGACAAUAUUCAUUAUGUUUAAUUAAAGCCUCACCUCACCUCCACACGCACCUGACAAUGACAUCCUAGGGCUGUUAUCCCGCAGCCCAAUGACUGUUUAACGGGACACAUCUAUAAUUCAGCAUAAACCUGCCCUGCAGAGUCACAGUCAUACAAACAGUUAUUGUGUUGAGAGGAAGCUCAGGUCAAGGGUCUCCUGGAUGCUCAUUAAGCAGGCUUCAAUUGUGUAUGGGUUCUCACCAUUUCCUCUCUGAUCACGCCCCAUCAGCCUUUGCAUUACGACCUCCGGUCUGGGCGAGUGUGUGGGUGGACGUCUGCCCUUGUCUCUGAAGCGAUCGUCCUCUCUUGCCCCUCUAUCUAUCCGUCUAUCUCUGGCUUAUCUUUGUUCUCCAGGGAAAGUCUUUUUUGUCCGUUUAGGGUGGCAUUAUUCAGUAGGAGCCUACAAAUAUGACAACACCUGUUUAUUAGACAUUUUUCAAGGA